rnacentral:tRNA from 1 species
GGAGGGGUGGCCGAGCGGUUUAAGGCACCGGUCUUGAAAACCGGCGACCCGUAAGGGUCCGUGAGUUCGAAUCUCACCCCCUCCG